UACAGAGGUCCCAAGCGUUGUUCGGAUUCACUGGGCGUAAAGGGUGCGUAGGUGGCGGGGUAAGUUUGAUGUGAAAUCUCCGAGCUCAACUCGGAAAUGGCAUUGAAUACUACUUUGCUAGAGGUUUGGAGGGGGGACUGGAAUUCUCGGUGUAGCAGUGAAAUGCGUAGAUAUCGAGAGGAACACCAGUGGCGAAGGCGAGUCCCUGGACAACACCUGACACUGAGGCACGAAAGCUAGGGGAGCAAACAGG
rnacentral:rRNA from 1 species